rnacentral:rRNA from 4 species
CAAUCAAACCGGGAGAUAGCUGGUUCUCCCCGAAAGCUAUUUAGGUAGCGCCUCGUGAAUUCAUCUCCGGGGGUAGAGCACUGUUUCGGCUAGGGGGCCAUCCCGGCUUACCAACCCGAUGCAAACUGCGAAUACCGGAGAAUGUUAUCACGGGAGACACACGGCGGGUGCUAACGUCCGUCGUGAAGAGGGAAACAACCCAGACCGCCAGCUAAGGUCCCAAAGUCAUGGUUAAGUGGGAAACGAUGUGGGAAGGCCCAGACAGCCAGGAUGUUGGCUUAGAAGCAGCCAUCAUUUAAAGAAAGCGUAAUAGCUCACUGGUCGAGUCGGCCUGCGCGGAAGAUGUAACGGGGCUAAACCAUGCACCGAAGCUGCGGCAGCGAACGUAUCACCCAAGACAACUUUACGGAGUUGACGAUUGACGGAGCGAAGCGACGUCAAAGCGUUCAUUAAAGUCGAGUUGGCUUAGGGAUACGUUCGUUGGGUAGGGGAGCGUUCUGUAAGCCUGUGAAGGUGUGUCGUGAGGCAUGCUGGAGGUAUCAGAAGUGCGAAUGCUGACAUAAGUAACGAUAAAGCGGGUGAAAAGCCCGCUCGCCGGAAGACCAAGGGUUCCUGUCCAACGUUAAUCGGGGCAGGGUGAGUCGACCCCUAAGGCGAGGCCGAAAGGCGUAGUCGAUGGGAAACGGGUUAAUAUUCCCGUACUUGGUGUUACUGCGAAGGGGGGACGGAGAAGGCUAUGUUGGCCGGGCGACGGUUGUCCCGGUUUAAGCGUGUAGGUGUGUGUUCCAGGUAAAUCCGGUUCACUUUAACACUGAGGCGUGACGACGAGGCACUACGGUGCUGAAGCAACAAAUGCCCUGCUUCCAGGAAAAGCCUCUAAGCAUCAGGUAACAUCAAAUCGUACCCCAAACCGACACAGGUGGUCAGGUAGAGAAUACCAAGGCGCUUGAGAGAACUCGGGUGAAGGAACUAGGCAAAAUGGUGCCGUAACUUCGGGAGAAGGCACGCUGACACGUAGGUGAAGUGAUUUACUCAUGGAGCUGAAGUCAGUCGAAGAUACCAGCUGGCUGCAACUGUUUAUUAAAAACACAGCACUGUGCAAACACGAAAGUGGACGUAUACGGUGUGACGCCUGCCCGGUGCCGGAAGGUUAAUUGAUGGGGUCAGCGCAAGCGAAGCUCCUGAUCGAAGCCCCGGUAAACGGCGGCCGUAACUAUAACGGUCCUAAGGUAGCGAAAUUCCUUGUCGGGUAAGUUCCGACCUGCACGAAUGGCGUAAUGAUGGCCAGGCUGUCUCCACCCGAGACUCAGUGAAAUUGAACUCGCUGUGAAGAUGCAGUGUACCCGCGGCAAGACGGAAAGACCCCGUGAACCUUUACUAUAGCUUGACACUGAACAUUGAGCCUUGAUGUGUAGGAUAGGUGGGAGGCUUUGAAGUGUGGACGCCAGUCUGCAUGGAGCCGACCUUGAAAUACCACCCUUUAAUGUUUGAUGUUCUAACGUGGACCCGUAAUCCGGGUUGCGGACAGUGUCUGGUGGGUAGUUUGACUGGGGCGGUCUCCUCCUAAAGAGUAACGGAGGAGCACGAAGGUUGGCUAAUCCUGGUCGGACAUCAGGAGGUUAGUGCAAUGGCAUAAGCCAGCUUGACUGCGAGCGUGACGGCGCGAGCAGGUGCGAAAGCAGGUCAUAGUGAUCCGGUGGUUCUGAAUGGAAGGGCCAUCGCUCAACGGAUAAAAGGUACUCCGGGGAUAACAGGCUGAUACCGCCCAAGAGUUCAUAUCGACGGCGGUGUUUGGCACCUCGAUGUCGGCUCAUCACAUCCUGGGGCUGAAGUAGGUCCCAAGGGUAUGGCUGUUCGCCAUUUAAAGUGGUACGCGAGCUGGGUUUAGAACGUCGUGAGACAGUUCGGUCCCUAUCUGCCGUGGGCGCUGGAGAACUGAGGGGGGCUGCUCCUAGUACGAGAGGACCGGAGUGGACGCAUCACUGGUGUUCGGGUUGUCAUGCCAAUGGCACUGCCCGGUAGCUAAAUGCGGAAGAGAUAAGUGCUGAAAGCAUCUAAGCACGAAACUUGCCCCGAGAUGAGUUCUCCCUGAGACUUAGAGUCUCCUGAAGGAACGUUGAAGACGACGACGUUGAUAGGCCGGGUGUGUAAGCGCAGCGAUGCGUUGAGCUAACCGGUACUAAUGAACCGUGAGGCUUAACCUUACA